rnacentral:rRNA from 1 species
UAAGGAAUAUUGGUCAAUGGGCGAAAGCCUGAACCAGCCAUGCCGCGUGCAGGAAGACUGCCCUACGGGUUGUAAACUGCUUUUGUACCGGAAUAAACCUUGAUACGUGUAUCAAGCUGAAUGUACGGUAAGAAUAAGGAUCGGCUAACUCCGUGCCAGCAGCCGCGGUAAUACGGAGGAUCCAAGCGUUAUCCGGAUUUAUUGGGUUUAAAGGGUGCGUAGGUGGCUUUUUAAGUCAGGGGUGAAAGACGGUAGCUUAACUAUCGCAGUGCCUUUGAUACUGAAGAGCUUGAAUGAACUAGAGGUAGGCGGAAUGUGACAAGUAGCGGUGAAAUGCAUAGAUAUGUCACAGAACACCAAUUGCGAAGGCAGCUUACUAUGGUUUAAUUGACACUGAGGCACGAAAGCGUGGGGAUCAAACAGGAUUAGAUACCCUGGUAGUCCACGCCCUAAACGAUGAAUACUCGAUGUUGGCGAUAUACGGUCAGCGUCUAAGCGAAAGCGUUAAGUAUUCCACCUGGGGAGUACGCCCGCAAGGGUG